AAUUAAGCUCAUAACUUACAAACCUGGCCCCAAUCAGAUUUUAUUUCACCAAGUUAAGAAUUAAAUAAAGUACAAUCUAUAAAGGGCGAUAUGCUCUAGAUAUACCAACAUAUUAAAACAAGCAGCUCGGCGCACCACCUUGGGGAUCAGAUACCCUUCUAACGAAUUUGAAUUCAUAUUAUUCUUCUUAGUUGCAAGGAAGAAACCAUAAUUGGAAUAUAGGAUAUAUAUCUUAUUGACAAAAACUAUGUGGAUUGUGGUCAACAUGGCAGGACUUCGAAAAAGAAGAUAUUCUGAUAAAAGAUCGACGUGAACUACCCCGCCAUCUCCAUCGGCUAAGGGCGACUAAGCUGAUGUGGACAUAUAGGUAUCGUACUCCGUUAACGGACUUUGGAAACCCUUUUCGAUACAAUGUAUCCCUGAUGUUCAAGUUUUAACAUAUCUGUCUGUACAGAUCAGGUCUGAAGUUGCUUGAAAUCAAGCAAGAAUAUUUUUUUUUAUAUUGAGAAUUUUAUUCCUAAUGUUAUGAAACUCCAUAGCAAGCUUUCCAAGAUCAUGUUGUUAGUUAAUUGUGCCUAAAUUAAACACGCCUUUUAUAGUGAUAAACAGUGCUCCGCAUUACUCAAAAUUAAUAAAUUCAAUGUGGAAAGAAAAUAAAAAGUAUGUAUUCCAUAUUUAUUUCAAAUUUACUCCCAAAAGAUAUAGAUAAAAUGAAUGAGGGUUAGAAGCGGUUAGAAGAUAAUGCGGUAUGCACUUUAUAAUGCGAAAUUAUUUCACUUGCAAAUAGAGUGAAAAUAGGCUUAAUUCGUUUUUUUU